rnacentral:rRNA from 1 species
UACGAAGGGGGCUAGCGUUGCUCGGAAUCACUGGGCGUAAAGGGUGCGUAGGCGGACCUGCAAGUCGGGGGUGAAAGCCCGAGGCUCAACCUCGGAACUGCCUUCGAUACUGCGGGUCUCGAGUCCGGGAGAGGUGAGUGGAAUUCCUAGUGUAGAGGUGAAAUUCGUAGAUAUUAGGAAGAACACCAGUGGCGAAGGCGGCUCACUGGCCCGGUACUGACGCUGAGGCGCGAAAGCGUGGGGAGCAAACAGG